rnacentral:rRNA from 1 species
UUGCUAAUACCGCAUGAGCAGUUGGUGAAGUAGAGAGCUAACUGGAAAGAGGAAACUCGCUUUGGGAGGGGCCUGCGUCCCAUCAGCUAGUUGGUGAGGUAACGGCUCACCAAGGCAACGAUGCGUAGCCGACCUGAGAGGGUGAUCGGCCACACUGGGACUGAGACACGGCCCAGACUCCUACGGGAGGCAGCAGUAGGGAAUCUUCCGCAAUGGACGAAAGUCUGACGGAGCAACGCCGCGUGAACGAUGAAGGCCUUCGGGUCGUAAAGUUCUGUUGUUAGGGAAGAACAAGUACCAGAGUAACUGCUGGUACCUUGACGGUACCUAACCAGAAAGCCACGGCUAACUACGUGCCAGCAGCCGCGGUAAUACGUAGGUGGCAAGCGUUGUCCGGAAUUAUUGGGCGUAAAGCGCGCGCAGGUGGUUCUUUAAGUCUGAUGUGAAAGCCCACGGCUCAACCGUGGAGGGUCAUUGGAAACUGGGGAACUUGAGUGCAGAAGAGGAAAGUGGAAUUCCAAGUGUAGCGGUGAAAUGCGUAGAGAUUUGGAGGAACACCAGUGGCGAAGGCGGCUUCCUGGACCGACACUGACGCUGAGGCGCGAAAGCUAGGGGAGCAAACGGGAUUA